rnacentral:rRNA from 1 species
UACGUAGGUGGCAAGCGUUGUCCGGAAUUAUUGGGCGUAAAGCGCGCGCAGGCGGUCGUGCAAGUCGCGUGUGAAAGCCCCCGGCUCAACUGGGGAGGGUCACGCGAUACUGCUCGACUCGAAGGCAGGAGAGGGAAGUGGAAUUCCCGGUGUAGUGGUGAAAUGCGUAGAUAUCGGGAGGAACACCAGUGGCGAAGGCGACUUCCUGGCCUGUUCUUGACGCUGAGGCGCGAAAGCUAGGGUAGCAAACGGG